GACGUAGGGCGCGAGCGUUGUCCGGAUUUAUUGGGCGUAAAGAGCUCGUAGGCGGCUCGUUGCGUCGGCUGUGAAAACCCGCGGCUCAACUGUGGGCUUGCAGCUGAUACGGGCGGGCUGGAGUUCGGUAGGGGAGACUGGAAUUCCUGGUGUAGCGGUGAAAUGCGCAGAUAUCAGGAGGGACACCGGUGGCGAAGGCGGGUCUCUGGGCCGAUACUGACGCUGAGGAGCGAAAGCGUGGGGAGCGAACAGG
rnacentral:rRNA from 1 species